rnacentral:rRNA from 1 species
UACGUAGGGUGCAAGCGUUGUCCGGAAUUAUUGGGCGUAAAGAGCUCGUAGGCGGUUUGUCGCGUCUGCUGUGAAAACUCGGGGCUUAACCCUGGGCCUGCAGUGGGUACGGGCAGACUAGAGUGCGGUAGGGGAGACUGGAAUUCCUGGUGUAGCGGUGAAAUGCGCAGAUAUCAGGAGGAACACCGGUGGCGAAGGCGGCAUCCUGGACCAACACUGACACUGAGGAGCGAAAGCCAGGGGAGCAAACGGG